GGCGUCCGGAGGAGCAUCCGGGUUGAAGGUUCUGGCCCUCACCAUCGAGACUACCAUGGUCGUCGCCAAGUACAUCUGGAAUGAGAAGGUGGAGUUGCGACAGGAAGGAGGAAUGAAUUUCUAAUGGAUCUACUGUCUCCCUUGAGUUGGGGCGAACGUAGUGAAGCACCACGCUGUGUUUAUUGAUCUGGAAUCCAAGAGGAUCACCCGCCCUUGGUUGUUCCCUUCGUUUGUCAACUAGGUGACUUUUCAUGUGAUUUCUGCUUCCAAAAAUUAGAAAAUACCUUCAGAUCAAACCAGCAGAUUUGUAGAUUUCUGGGAAUUGCUGCUACUCCAUCUCCAUCUAGCCAAUGGUCUUUGGUUACUGAUUCUGAGGUACGACGUUGUUUUUUGUUAUAUCCCAUUUAGCUUGGCACCUCCAUUUAUUGGUUCGGGCCGAGCAAAGACCCUGUUGAGCAGUAUCACUGACUGGAAGCAUAAAUUUUUAGAUCAGUGAUAAGAUAAAUCCUGUGUACCGGUGCUUAGUAGCUAGCGAAAUGCGGCUGGUAUUUUUGGUCUGUAUGUAGGUAGCUUCCUGAUGUGUGUGGCUGUGUGUUCAUUCACACAGACCUGAACUUAUUUAUGUUUUUCGUUGGCUUCAUUUUAGUAAAGAUGGGGUGGGGAAAAACUACACCCUAUAUAUGUAAGUUGACUGAAAAUAAUAAUAUGUUUCAGUAGCUAUAUUUCUUCGGUUC